rnacentral:tRNA from 1 species
GUUUUAAUAGUUUAAUAAAACACUGAUCUUGUAAAUCAGAGAUAAGAAUGGCUCUUUUAAAGCU